CCUACGGGUGGCAGCAGUGAGGAAUAUUGGUCAAUGGACGAGAGUCUGAACCAGCCAAGUAGCGUGAAGGAUGACUGCCCUAUGGGUUGUAAACUUCUUUUAUAAAGGAAUAAAACGAGGCACGUGUGCCUUUUUGCAUGUACUUUAUGAAUAAGGAUCGGCUAACUCCGUGCCAGCAGCCGCGGUAAUACGGAGGAUCCGAGAGUUAUCCGGAUUUAUUGGGUUUAAAGGGAGAGUAGAUGGGUUGUUAAGUCAGUUGUGAAAGUUUGCGGCUCAACCGUAAAAUUGCAAUUGAUACUGGCAGUCGUGAGUACAGUUGAGGUAGGCGGAAUUCGUGGUGUAGCGGUGAAAUGCUUAGAUAUCACGAAGAACCCCGAUUGCGAAGGCAGCUUACUAAACUGUGACUGACAUUGAUGCUCGAAAGUGUGGGUAUCAAACAGGAUUAGAUACCCGAGUAGUC
rnacentral:rRNA from 1 species